AAUAGAUACCCUGGUAGUCCACGCCGUAAACGAUGAGUGCUAAGUGUUAGGGGGUUUCCGCCCCUUAGUGCUGCAGCUAACGCAUUAAGCACUCCGCCUGGGGAGUACGGUCGCAAGACUGAAACUCAAAGGAAUUGACGGGGGGCCCGCACAAGCGGUGGAGCAUGUGGUUUAAUUCGAAGCAACGCGAAGAACCUUACCAGGUCUUGACAUCCCACUGACCGCUAUGGAGACAUAGUUUUCCCUUCGGGGACAGUGGUGACAGGUGGUGCAUGGUUGUCGUCAGCUCGUGUCGUGAGAUGUUGGGUUAAGUCCCGCAACGAGCGCAACCCUUGAUCUUAGUUGCCAUCAUUUAGUUGGGCACUCUAAGGUGACUGCCGGUGACAAACCGGAGGAAGGUGGGGAUGACGUCAAAUCAUCAUGCCCCUUAUGACCUGGGCUACACACGUGCUACAAUGGACGGUACAAACGGUUGCCAACCCGCGAGGGGGAGCUAAUCCGAUAAAACCGUUCUCAGUUCGGAUUGUAGGCUGCAACUCGCCUAC
rnacentral:rRNA from 1 species